rnacentral:rRNA from 1 species
UUUCCCAAGCCGGCCUUGCUGGGUGGAUUAGUGGCGAACGGGUGAGUAACACGUGAGUAACCUGCCCCUGACUCUGGGAUAAGCGUUGGAAACGACGUCUAAUACUGGAUAUGACGGCCGAUCGCAUGGUCUGGUCGUGGAAAGAUUUUUUGGUUGGGGAUGGACUCGCGGCCUAUCAGCUUGUUGGUGAGGUAAUGGCUCACCAAGGCGACGACGGGUAGCCGGCCUGAGAGGGUGACCGGCCACACUGGGACUGAGACACGGCCCAGACUCCUACGGGAGGCAGCAGUGGGGAAUAUUGCACAAUGGGCGAAAGCCUGAUGCAGCAACGCCGCGUGAGGGACGACGGCCUUCGGGUUGUAAACCUCUUUUAGUAGGGAAGAAGGGAGCUUGCUCUUGACGGUACCUGCAGAAAAAGCACCGGCUAACUACGUGCCAGCAGCCGCGGUAAUACGUAGGGUGCAAGCGUUGUCCGGAAUUAUUGGGCGUAAAGAGCUCGUAGGCGGUUUGUCGCGUCUGCUGUGAAAUCCCGAGGCUCAACCUCGGGCUUGCAGUGGGUACGGGCAGACUAGAGUGCGGUAGGGGAGAUUGGAAUUCCUGGUGUAGCGGUGGAAUGCGCAGAUAUCAGGAGGAACACCGAUGGCGAAGGCAGAUCUCUGGGCCGUUACUGACGCUGAGGAGCGAAAGCGUGGGGAGCGAACAGGAUUAGAUACCCUGGUAGUCCACGCCGUAAACGUUGGGCGCUAGAUGUAGGGACCUUUCCACGGUUUCUGUGUCGUAGCUAACGCAUUAAGCGCCCCGCCUGGGGAGUACGGCCGCAAGGCUAAAACUCAAAGGAAUUGACGGGGGCCCGCACAAGCGGCGGAGCAUGCGGAUUAAUUCGAUGCACGCGAAGAACCUUACCAGGCUUGACUUUACCGGAAACGGCCAGAAAUGGUCUCCCCCUUGGGUCCGGUACCAGGGGGGCAUGGUUGCCUCCAUUCCGGCCUGGAAAGUUGGGUUUAAUCCCCAAAGAGGCCACCCCUCUUUUUUGUUCCGGGGUUGGGCGGGAACCCUAAAAAACGGGGGGGACAACCGAAAAAGGGGGGAAAAGAAAAUACAGCCCCU